rnacentral:rRNA from 1 species
UACGAGGGGGGCGAGCGUUGUUCGGAAUUAUUGGGCGUAAAGGGUGCGUAGGCGGUUUGGUAAGUCUUAUGUGAAAUCUCAGGGCUCAACUCUGACAUUGCAUUCGAUACGGGCAGGCUCGAGUUCGGUAGGGGAGACUGGAAUACUUGGUGUAGCAGUGAAAUGCGUAGAUAUCAAGUGGAACACCAGUGGCGAAGGCGAGUCUCUGGACAUUUCCUGACGCUGAGGCACGAAAGCCAGGGGAGCAAACGGG